AAGAAAAGAAAGAAAGAAA
rnacentral:sRNA from 1 species